rnacentral:rRNA from 1 species
AGUGAACGUUGGCGGCGUGGAUUAGGCAUGCAAGUCGAGCGAGAACCGUAGCAAUACGGGGACAGCGGCGAAAGGGACAGUAAUGUGUAGGUACCUACCUCCGGGUUCGGGAUAGCUGCGGGAAACUGCAGGUAAUACCGAAUAACGUCUCCGGACCAAAGGUGUGAUUCCACCUGGAGAGGGGCCUGCAUCCUAUUAGCUAGUUGGGGAGGUAACGGCUCACCAAGGCGACGAUGGGUAGCGGGUGUGAGAGCACGACCCGCGUCAUUGGGAAUGAGACACUGCCCAGACACCUACGGGUGGCUGCAGUCGAGGAUCUUCGGCAAUGGGCGCAAGCCUGACCGAGCGACGCCGCGUGCGGGAUGAAGGCCUUCGGGUUGUAAACCGCUGUCGUAGAGGAGGAAAUGCAGGGGGGUUCUCCCCUCUGUUUGACCUAUUCUAGGAGGAAGGACGGGCUAAGUUCGUGCCAGCCGCCGCUGUAA